AGUUCCUAUAUUUUAAGAGCAAUUAAUUUGAUCCCUGCUAUUUUCAAGUCACAAUUAAUUUGGUCUCUACUGUUAAAUGACUAACGGAAUCUGCUUAGGUGGCAAACGGAAUACACACAUGACAUAAAUUAAAUUAAAAUAUAAAUAGUGCUUACAUGUCAGUCUUCCACGUCAGCUUUCUCUACUGUUAAAAUCGCACGUGAGUCUCACAUGACUCACUUAUCAGCAACAUCAUCCUCACUGGGCAACAACACAGACACGAUUGAAUACUUAAUCCCAAAAUGAAAUUUUGAACCCUAACCCCUUCUUCUUCAUAGCCAUUAUCACAGUCUCACAGACAUGAUGAACAAGGCUCCUCAAUGAACAUGAACUCCUUCUUCUUCAUAGCCACAUCUCUUCUCACCUAAUCCCCAAGAUCAAAGCUCCUCUCAUCUCGCCGAUUCCAUUGCCGAUUCCCAAUUGAGCUCUCGACCCUCAAAGAAACGAAGAAACAGAGAACCCAAACAGCAGGUUGUUUGCUAAUGAAAAAAUUUUCAAUGACUUAAUGAAGAGAUAUAUGAGCGCGACAAGCAAGACAAUGUGCUUAUAUAGCAGAGGCAGAGAGAUUAUCACACUUCAAGUUGCAAAUUGUUAAAGAGGAAAAAGGUUUUGACAAUGUGUUUGGCAGUGUCAUUGGUAAUAUAUGGGAUCGGCAUUUGUGUGAUCGUAGUUUUGGUGGGUUAAAGGGCUGGGUUUAUUGUACUUAAACUAAGAGAAAAAAAUUAAGAAAAGUUUUUGAUGUAGUGGAGUGUUUUUUGUAAAUGUGCUUCCAAGUAUCAAUGCAUCUGCUGGUUAUGUCUGAUAAUUUUGCUGGUUCUGUCAGAUAUAUUUAAGGUUU